GGGGGUGAAAGAAUCGACAGAACUUUUCACUAAAAUAGGCAGAUGGAGUAUGCUGGAAUCUCAUUAAACUUCCGGCAAUAAUAAGUGCCAACUUAUUCGCUCCUCUAAAAGGAGCUCCUGUUUACGCAUAAAACCGUAAACCAUCCGCUUGCCGAUUCUCGAUAGGCAAAACCGGGUGUCAUUUUCGAGAUAGGCAGUUAUUUUUGUCCGAAAUAAUUGCUAAAAUUAAUUGGGCUUGGAAUAAUAAAGUUUUGUCUGUUUCUAAUUUGUUAUUCUGAAAAAAUUAAACAGUCUAAAUCUGUAGAAAUAUUUUAGUGAAUUUUCUGGACGCGAGCUCACCCUCGCCACCUCCACCA
rnacentral:tmRNA from 1 species